rnacentral:rRNA from 1 species
AGGACGAACGCUGGCGGCGUGCUUAACACAUGCAAGUCGAGCGGUAAGGCCUUUCGGGGUACACGAGCGGCGAACGGGUGAGUAACACGUGGGUGAUCUGCCCUGCACUUCGGGAUAAGCCUGGGAAACUGGGUCUAAUACCGGAUAUGACCUCAGGUUGCAUGACUUGGGGUGAAAGAUUUAGUCGGUGCAGGAUCGGGCCCGCGGCCUAUCAGCGUUGUUGGUGGGUAAUCGGCCUACCGAAGGCGACGACGGGUAGCCGACCUGAGAGGGUGACCGGCCACACGUGGACUGAGACACGGCCAGACUCCGUACGGACGCAGCAGGUGGGAAUAGUG